rnacentral:rRNA from 1 species
CAGAGGGUGCGAGCGUUAAUCGGAUCUACUGGGCGUAAAGGGUGCGUAGGCGGUUCUAUGAGUGUGAUGUGAAAGCCCUGGGCUCAACCUAGGAAGUGCAUCGCAAACGAUAGAACUGGAGUAUGUGAGAGGGUGGCGGAAUUUCCGGUGUAGCGGUGAAAUGCGUAGAUAUCGGAAGGAACGUCGAUGGCGAAGGCAGCCACCUGGCACAAUACUGACGCUGAGGCACGAAAGCGUGGGGAUCAAACAGGAUUAGAUACCCUGGUAGUCCACGCCGUAAACGAUGAUAACUAGAUGUUGGUAGGGGAACCUAUCGGUAUCGAAGCUAACGCGAUAAGUUAUCCGCCUGGGAAGUACGGCCGCAAGGUUG